rnacentral:sRNA from 1 species
AAUCCUCGACCUGCUGCGGCGCGAUGAAAUGGAUAUGCGCAUCCAUGCCGCCCGCGGUCAGGAUCUUGCCUUCGCCGGCGAUGAUCUCGGUUCCCGGGCCGAUGACGAUGGUCACGGCGGGCUGGGUGUCGGGGUUGCCGGCCUUGCCGAUGGCGGCGAUGCGGCCGUCGCGCAGACCGACGUCGGCCUUGCAGAUGCCGCUCCAGUCGACGAUCAGCGCAUUGGUGAUGACGGUAUCCAUCGCGCCACCCGCGCGCGAGACCUGCGACUGGCCCAUGCCGUCGCGGAU